UACAGAGGGUGCAAGCGUUAAUCGGAAUUACUGGGCGUAAAGGGCGCGUAGGCGGCCUGCUAAGUCGGACGUGAAAUCCUGGAGCUCAACUCCAGAACUGCCUUCGAUACUGAAGAGCUCGAGUCCGGGAGAGGUGAGUGGAACUGCGAGUGUAGAGGUGAAAUUCGUAGAUAUUCGCAAGAACACCAGUGGCGAAGGCGGCUCACUGGCCCGAUACUGACGCUGAGGCACGAAAGCGUGGGGAGCAAACAGG
rnacentral:rRNA from 1 species